UUUCAUUCACGCCACUGUAAAUUUCCGAAAAUGUUGUUACGUUAUUUUGCAUUUCAGGUGACGAUGUAAUGUACAUUAAGAAAAUAAAAUUUAAAAAAUCGAUUUUUUGAAAAUUUUAACUAUGUAUAUAUAACUCCUUAAUUGAACUGUGGCGACACCCAAACGGUUUAACGUUUUUUUUUUUAAUUUCAACAAAUAAACAAAAUAUUUUAAGAAAAUUACAUAAAUGAUUUUUUUUGUUUUUAUAUUUAAUUUAUACUUUAUAGAGUCAGCAAAUAAAAAAAAAAAAAAAAUAAAAAAUAAAGCAAAACUGAAAAUGCAUAUGUGUAGACGUAAACGUGUCGAUUAUGUUAAAUAAGGUAGUGCAAAUGCGAAAUGCAAACGAAAAUCACACGUAUCUCCAAGUUAACAAUUUUUUUAUAGCAAAAAAAGAAUUGAUAACAACUUUUUUAAUCUUAUUUAAACUAAGAUUUUAUGUGCAUACAUAUAUACACCCGUGCGUGGGUGUACAUUAUGGAUAUGUGUACAUACAUCUGUAGUGGCAAAAUAUUGAGAAAAUUUAUAUUAUUUCUUAAGAAACAUAUACACCGCAUAAUCUAAAUCAAAACAACUGCGCUGCAAUAGCUUUCGAAGGCGUUGCAGCAGCUUGGUUAUCAGUGAUAUAAUUUCAAAAUUGUUAAUCGCUUGUUAAUGUUUAAAUAAGUAAAAAAAGAUAGUAUAAAAAUGUGAAAUUGAAUGUAUUAAAUUAUGUGACUGUCGUAAAACUCUUAUUUACAAAUGUACAUACUAUAUGAAUAUUUAUGUAGGGUAUACAUAUGUUGUGGUAUGUUAUGAUUUCCCAAAUUGAUUCUUUUUUGUAAAAAUCCACUAAAGUUGCAGUUUUUGCACUAAAAAACGGUUUCAACUCAGACAAGCUCUUUAUUUUCAAUUUAAGCCGUGUCUGAAUCAUUUUUUUCUCGUGAGUGCUAUAUAAAUUGGGAUAUUUGGCUAUAACUUUUUCAUCUAAAACACAAAUAAUACUAGAAAUUUAGAAAAGUUAUAUUCUAAAAAAAAUUUCCGCAACACAAAAAAGUCUUAAUAUUUGUAAUUACUGGCAUUCCGAUGCUCUGGUUGACAUUUUACACGUUAAAGUAUUUCAUUAUCAUUGAUGCCUGCAAAAAAAAAAAAAAUUCGGUUGCACCCGAACUUAGCCUUUCCUUACUUGUUUUUCGUAAAAACGUUAAUUCACAAGUUAUAUGGAGUGCAUAUUACAAAGCAAAUGAUCUGAGCAUUCAUACAAGUGAUUUCAGCUCGCACAUUCUGCGUUGCUCAUACGCCAUGGUGUACCAUAUGUAUACAGUACAUUUCAAUGCAUAACUUACAGUGCCUAUAACUUAUAAGGGAGUGUUUUUAUGGAAAAUUUUAUUUAGAACUUUUUUGUAGAGCGGUAUUUUUUAUUAGAAUAUCAUUUUUUCAAAAUUGUGGAUUUAUUUGUUUUGGAGAUAAAAUAAAUUUAUUGCAAAUUAUCAAAAAUCCCAUAUAAAUAUGUAUGAGUAAUGGAAAAUUAAGAUUUAGACGCGUUUGUUUGCAUUACAAGCUGUUUUUAGCGCAAAGCCUGAAACUUCAGCGUUCUUUUGCAAGCAAAAAAUCAACUUGAGCAAUAACGCACACCCUAAUGUUGCUCUACUUACGCUUUAGCUCUACUGAUUUCGGCUUUUAUCGUUGAUAAGUGUUAAAUGGCAUUCAUUGUGGUACCUCUAAAUUCUCUAAGAUUUAGAAUUCAAUAUUUUGUACAAUCUUAAAUAAUAUUAAUAGCAAAAUAAUUAUCAAACAAAUGUUAAAUACAGGCAUAAACAUACAUACAAACACGUAAGACUUUCGGUUAUUGCAUAAGUGAAGAAAAAACAACAAAAGAAAUAUAAAUGAUUAAU